AGAUUGAACGCUGGCGGCAGGCCUAACACAUGCAAGUCGAGCGGUAGAGAGGUGCUUGCAUCUCUUGAGAGCGGCGGACGGGUGAGUAAUGCCUAGGAAUCUGCCUAGUGGUGGGGGAUAACGUUCGGAAACGGACGCUAAUACCGCAUACGUCCUACGGGAGAAAGCGGGGGACCUUCGGGCCUCGCGCCAUUAGAUGAGCCUAGGUCGGAUUAGCUAGUUGGUGAGGUAAUGGCUCACCAAGGCGACGAUCCGUAACUGGUCUGAGAGGAUGAUCAGUCACACUGGAACUGAGACACGGUCCAGACUCCUACGGAGGCAGCAGUGGGGAAUAUUGGACAAUGGGCGAAAGCCUGGUCCAGCCAUGCCGCGUGUGUGAAGAAGGUCUUCGGAUUGUAAAAGCACUUUAAGUUGGAGGAAGGUUGUAACUUAAUACGUUGCAACUUUGACGUUACCGACAGAAUAAGCACCGGCUAAACUUCGUGCCAGCAAGCCGUA
rnacentral:rRNA from 1 species